rnacentral:rRNA from 1 species
AGCAGCCGCGGUAAUUCCAGCUCCAAUAGCGUAUAUUAAAGUUGUUGCAGUUAAAAAGCUCGUAGUUGAAUUUCGAGACCGGUUUACUGGUCGUGCUUUUGUACGUACUGGUAUUAUUGAUUCCUACCUUCUGACUAACCAUGAUGUCAUUAAUUUGGUGUCAUGGGGAAUCAGGACUGUUACUUUGAAAAAAU